AUGCAUAAGCUCGUAAAUGUUCAUUAUUUGGACAAGACGACAUUUAUGCUUGGAAAUGACGAUGAAGGGGAAGAGGCUAUGGUUUUUGACACAAGUCCAAGCUUUGAUGAUCUUGUAGUUAAAGUGAGAAGCGUGUUACAUUGGAAUGACCCAAAUGCCAAGGUUAAGCUUAUUGGGAGGUAUGACAUUGGAUUGGGAGUAAAGCCCCGAUUAAAGAGUAUGUCCAUCACCUCCCAAUUGCAUUGGAAUGUCUACAAGGAAAAAGUAGAUGCAUCACAAGACAAGUCUCUUGAGAUCUUUGCCACAAAGGUUGAUCCUCCUCCCCCCUUGCAAAUUGAUCUCAACCGCAAUGCAUCCUCCCCAAUACAUGAUGAUAGUGCCGAGGUGUAUAUCCCCAAUUGUUCUAGCCAACCACCAAGUAGCCAACCC
rnacentral:rRNA from 1 species